rnacentral:rRNA from 1 species
GAUGAACGCUAGCGGCAGGCUUAACACAUGCAAGUCGAGGGGCAGCGCGGGAUAGCAAUAUCCUGGCGGCGACCGGCGGAAGGGUGCGUAACGCGUGAGCGACAUGCCCGUUGCCCGGGGACAACCGGUGGAAACGCCGACUAAUCCCCGAUGGGAUAUUGUGCCGCAUGGCACGAUAUUGAAAGUUACGGCGGCGACGGAUUGGCUCGCGUCCGAUUAGCUUGUUGGCGGGGUAACGGCCCACCAAGGCUGCGAUCGGUAGGGGUUCUGAGAGGAAGGCCCCCCACAAUGGGACUGAGACACGGCCCAUACUCCUACGGGAGGCAGCAGUGAGGAAUAUUGGACAAUGGGCGGAAGCCUGAACCAGCCAUGCCGCGUGCGGGAAGGAGGCCCUAUGGGCUGUGAACCGCUUUUGCUUGGGGGCAAUAAGGGCGUCGCGCACGUCCGAUGAGAGUACCAGGCGAAUAAGCAUCGGCUAACUCCGUG